rnacentral:rRNA from 1 species
AUUGAACGCUGGCGGCAUGCCUUACACAUGCAAGUCGAACGGUAACGCGGGGCAACCUGGCGACGAGUGGCGAACGGGUGAGUAAUAUAUCGGAACGUGCCCAGUCGUGGGGGAUAACGUAGAGAAAUUACGCUAAUACCGCAUACGAUCUAUGGAUGAAAGCGGGGGAUCGCAAGACCUCGCGCGAUUGGAGCGGCUGAUAUCAGAUUAGGUUGUUGGUGGGGUAAAAGCCCACCAAGCCGACGAUCUGUAGCUGGUUUGAGAGAACGACCAGCCACACUGGGACUGAGACACGGCCCAGACUCCUACGGGAGGCAGCAGUGGGGAAUUUUGGACAAUGGGCGCAAGCCUGAUCCAGCAAUGCCGCGUGCAGGAAGAAGGCCUUCGGGUUGUAAACUGCUUUUGUACGGAACGAGACAGCUCUUUCUAAUAAAGAGGGCUAAUGACGGUACCGUAAGAAUAAGCACCGGCUAACUACGUGCCAGCCGCCGCCGUA